GAGAAGUGGACAAUGGUUGCUUCAACACCGCUGUGCGUAUACUGCCAUGUGACGAGGGAGUAUUGUUCAUAGACCAUCCUAUACACUACAUGGAUCUAAGAUUUUGUGUAAGUUAUCGUAACUCUUCAUUCUAUGUGGCAUUAGUAUCAACAUGUUGAAACACUAUUUCUUUUUUUACAUAGUCCAUGAUACUAGAGUCAACACGAGGUCAAAAGUUUUGCGAGAAGGAAACUUUCCAGACGUUGGCAACAUAAUUUGAUAGCUGGCCUGGGAUAGACAAAGACAUCUCAUCGUGCAACAUGGAAUGUGUCUGGCUAUUUUGUUUUUCAUUUUAUGCAUUGGUCAAGCCGGUUUGCGCGGAUGGGUAUGAGUUGAGGAAGCAGUUUUUAUUAUACUUGUUAAAACAUCGUGCGAGUGAAGCUAAAUGCAACUUUCCUAAUAUUGUGAAAGAAUUUCUUAGGCGCAUCAUCUAGAUAUUAAUAGUUUUGUAAUAGAUGUGAAGGUCGAACAUCGCUCAAUUUGU